rnacentral:misc_RNA from 1 species
UCCGGUUUAUCACCGGCAGUCUUCCUAAAGUGCCUGACUUUACUCAAUGGCAACUAGGAAUAAGGGUUGCGCUCGUUUUGGGACUUAACCCAACAUCUCACGACACGAGCUGACGACAGCCAUGCAGCACCUGUCUCUGCGUUCCUUUCGGCACACCUACCUCUCAGCAGGCUUCGCAGGAUGUCAAAAGCAGGUAAGGUUCUUCGCGUUGCAUCGAAUUAAACCACAUGCUCCACCGCUUGUGCGGGUCCCCGUCAAUUCCUUUGAGUUUUAGCCUUGCGGCCGUACUCCCCAGGCGGAAAACUUAUCGCGUUUGCUUCAACACUGCAGAGUUACCUCCCCAGCGCCUAGUUUUCAUCGUUUACAGCGUGGACUAC